rnacentral:misc_RNA from 1 species
CUGAUAGUUCAUCAGCCUUGCCUGGUAUCAAAAAAGAAGAUAUUACAACUUGAGAAUUCAACAAAGCUUGCAAUGACAGCCAAUAGAAGAUUUUGAUAAAUGGUGGGGGAAAAUGAUAAAGAUUACACGCAAAAACUUUCAUCUUGCAAAUUAAUUAGUACAAUAAUUUGGCACACAGUUUUUCCUAUGACCAUUUCAAUUUUAGACAAACCCAAAAGUCUUUUACAACACAGGCGCUCAAUUAUGUCCCCCCAAAAUCCAAAUCCUUCAGUGGUCCCUCCCAUGCAUGGUGCACCUCAAUAUGCCACACCAUCUCCAAAGACAUGGGUUCUAAAGUUCAUUCCAUGUCAAACACACAUUUCAAACAUAAGGAUGAGCACAAUUGCAUUAAUGAAAGGCAUAUUAAUGCAGCAAAUACUUUCUUUGAAGACCAGUAACGAAUAGAAGACAAGGCAAUCCAAUGCACAAAUAUCUAAAUCUACAAACCUCCAAAAACAAAACAUUGAAGCUUAAUCUCAAUGAUAUAAAAGGGAAUAUCUAGAACAAUAUACAGGCAACAUCUCCUCAAAAAACUUCAGCAAUGACAACUCAUACAUGCACUACAUGCAUUACAUGCAUAUAUACAAACACGCAUUAAGUGUUUUAACAACAACAGAAGUAAUUUAAAGGUAAAACAUCUAUAUAUAUAGACAAACAAUUUUCACAAAAUUACUCACAACAUAUUUUUUUUCCAAUACUUUUGUGAAUUUUAUUAACCUAAAUAUUAUGUCCAACUAUAAGAAUCAAUUAUUUGAAAAGCUUGAGCCUCAUCACAUAGAGGAUUAUUUCUGCUUCAACAACAGUAGAACACCUAGAUUUAUGCUUAGCCUUUCAAAAAUCAUUUUAGCAUUGCUUACCUCAUUCUCAAGAGGUGGAAGAAGGCCUUUGAGGUAAGCCCCAAUUAGAAAAAG